GGCGCUCGCUGAUUGGCCAUUGCUCGCGCGGUCUCCUGGGUAACGGGAACGCGGUAUCCUUCUUGGAGGAGACUGAGUGCGCCUGCGCACUUGCUAGAUCGCGCGGCUGCUAGAGCUUUGAGAUGAAGCGUGUUUUCUCACUGCUAGAAAAGACUUGGCUUGGCACACCAAUAAAGUUUACCUGGCAGAAAACAUCAGGAAACUACCUUGCAGUAACAGGAGCUGAUCAUAUUGUGAAAAUCUUUGAUCGCCAUGGUCAAAAAAGAAGUGAAAUCAACUUAUCUGGUAACUGUGUUGCUAUGGAUUGGGAUAAGGAUGGAGAUAUCCUAGCAGUGAUUGCUGAGAAAUCCAGUUGCAUUUAUCUGUGGGAUGCCAACACAAACAAAACCAGCCAGUUAGACAGUGGCAUGAGGGAUCAAUUGUCUUUCCUUCUUUGGUCAAAAUUUGGAAGUUUCCUGGCUGUUGGAACUGUUAAAGGAAAUUUGCUUAUUUAUAAUCGUCAGACAUCUCGAAAGAUUCCUGUCCUUGGAAAACAUACUAAGAGAAUCACAUGUGGCUGUUGGAAUGCAGAAAACAUGCUUGCUUUAGGUGGUGAAGAUAAAAUGAUUACAGUUAGUAAUCAGGAAGGUGACACGAUAAGACAGACACCAGUGAGAUCAGAGCCUGGUGACAUGCAGUUUUCCAUGAUGAAGACUGAUGACCGAACCUCCACUGCUGAAAGCACAAUAAGUGUAGUGGUUGGCAAGAAAACUUUGUUUCUUUUUAAUCUGAAUGAACCAGACAGCCCAAUUGAUCUGGAGUUUCAGCAGCGCUACGGCAACAUUGUCUGCUAUAGUUGGUAUGGUGAUGGCUACAUCUUGAUUGGUUUUUCACGUGGAAUUUUUGUGGUCAUUUCCACUCAUAUUCGAGAGAUCGGUCAAGAGAUAUUUCAGGCUCGUGACCAUAAAGAUAGUCUAACCAGUAUUGCAAUAUCACAGACCCUUAACAAAGCUGCUACAUGUGGUGAUAACUGCAUUAAAAUCCAUGACUUGGCAGAAUUAAAAGACAUGUACGCUAUAAUCAACCUGGAUGAUGAAAAUAAAGGGUUGGGCACCUUGUCCUGGACAGAUGAUGGUCAGUUGCUGGCACUGUCUACCCAGAGGGGAUCGCUCCAUGUUUUCCUGACCAAGCUCCCUAUCCUCGGGGAUGCCUGCAGCACCAGGAUUGCAUAUCUCACCUCCCUCCUUGAAGUCACCAUAGCCAAUCCUGUUGAAGGAGAGCUACCAGUCACAGUUUCUGUGGAUGUGGAACCCAACUUUGUAGCCGUAGGGCUUUAUCAUAUGGCUGUGGGAAUGAAUAAUCGAGCUUGGUUUUAUGUCCUUGGAGAGAACGCUGUUAAAAAAUUGAAAGAUGUGGAGUAUCUGGGGACAGUAACCAGCGUUUGCCUUCAUUCUGACUAUGCAGCUGCACUUUUUGAAGGCAAAGUCCAGUUACAUUUGAUAGAAAGUGAAAUGUUGGAUGCUCAAGAAGAACGUGAGACUCGACUUUUCCCAGCAGUGGAUGAUAAGUGCCGUAUUUUAUGUCAUGCCUUAACUGGUGAUUUCCUCAUCUAUGGCACAGAUACUGGUGUCAUUCAGUAUUUCUACAUUGAAGAUUGGCAAUUUGUUAAUGAUUAUCGACAUCCUGUCAGUGUGAAAAAGAUUUUUCCUGACCCAAAUGGGACCAGAUUAGUUUUCAUUGAUGAAAAAAGUGAUGGAUAUGUCUACUGUCCAGUUAAUGAUGCUACCUAUGAGAUUCCAGAUUUUUCACCAACCAUUAAAGGUGUUCUUUGGGAAAACUGGCCAAUGGAUAAAGGUGUGUUUAUUGCCUACGAUGAUGAUAAGGUGUACACUUAUGUCUUUCACAAGAACACUAUACAAGGAUCCAAGGUCAUUUUGGCUGGUGGCACCAAAGUUCCCUUCUGUCAUAAACCUUUGCUGUUAUAUAACGGAGAGUUGACCUGCCAGACACAGAGUGGAAAAAUAAACAACAUCUACCUUAGCACCCACAGCUUCCUCCACAGUUUAAAAGAUGUGGGGCUUAAUGAUCUGAGGCAGAUGCUGACACAGACUUUAAUGCUAAAGAGGUUUUCUGAUGCUUGGGAAAUGUGCAAGAUUCUGAAUGAUAAUGCUGCCUGGAAUGAGUUGGCCAGAGCUUGUCUACACCACAUGGAAGUGGAGUUUGCAAUCCGUGUUUAUCGGACAAUUGGAAACGUUGGCAUGGUGAUGUCCCUGGAACAAAUAAAGGGAAUAGAGGACUACAGUCUUCUGGCAGGACAUCUUGCCAUGUUUACUAAUGAUUUCAACCUGGCUCAGGACCUGUACCUGGCAUCCAGCUGUCCCAUUGCUGCCCUGGAGAUGAGAAGGGAUUUACAGCACUGGGACAGUGCUCUACAACUGGCAAAGCGUUUAGCCCCAGACCAAAUACCGUUUAUAUCAAAAGAAUAUGCUAUUCAGCUUGAAUUCACGGGUGAUUAUGUAAAUGCUUUGGCUCAUUAUGAGAAAGGAAUAACAGGUGAUAAUAAGGAACAUGAUGAGGUAUGUCUGGCUGGCGUGGCCCAGAUGUCCAUAAGAAUGGGAGACAUCCGCCGAGGGGUUAGCCUAGCCCUCAAGCACCCCAGCAGGGUCCUUAAAAGAGACUGUGGAGCCAUAUUGGAGAAUAUGAAGCAAUUUUCAGAAGCAGCUCAACUCUAUGAAAAAGGUCUCUACUAUGACAAAGCAGCAUCUGUCUACAUCCGCUGUAAGAAUUGGGCAAAAGUUGGUGAACUUCUUCCUCAUGUUUCUUCUCCAAAGAUUCACUUGCAGUAUGCCAAAGCUAAAGAAGCAGAUGGAAGAUACAAAGAAGCUGUUGUGGCUUAUGAGAAUGCAAAACAGUGGAACAGCGUGAUCCGCAUCUACCUGGACCACCUCAACAAUCCAGAAAAGGCUGUCAGUAUUGUCAGAGAAACCCAGUCCCUGGAUGGAGCCAAGAUGGUAGCCCGGUUUUUUCUACAGCUAGGUGACUACGGGUCUGCCAUCCAGUUUCUUGUUAUGUCCAAAUGUAAUAAUGAAGCUUUCACACUGGCUCAGCAGCACAACAAAAUGGAAAUCUAUGCGGACAUUAUUGGUUCUGAAGACACUACUAAUGAGGACUAUCAAAGCAUUGCCUUAUAUUUCGAAGGAGAAAAAAGACAUUUUCAGGCUGGAAAAUUCUUCUUGCUGUGUGGCCAGUAUUCACGAGCACUUAAACAUUUGCUGAAAUGUCCCAGCUCAGAAGACAAUGCAGCGAUAGAAAUGGCAAUUGAAACUGUCGGUCAGGCCAAAGAUGAACUGCUGACCAGUCAACUGAUAGACCACCUUAUGGGGGAGAGUGAUGGCAUGCCUAAGGAUGCCAAGUACCUGUUCCGCUUGUACAUGGCCCUGAAGCAGUACCGAGAAGCCGCCCGGACUGCCAUCAUCAUUGCCAGGGAAGAGCAGUCAGCAGGAAACUAUCGGAAUGCACAUGACGUUCUCUUCAGCAUGUAUGCAGAACUUAAAUCUCAGAAGAUCAAAAUUCCCUCCGAGAUGGCCACCAACCUCAUGAUUCUGCACAGUUACAUACUAGUGAAGAUUCACGUUAAAAAUGGAGAUCAUAUGAAAGGGGCACGUAUGCUUAUCCGCGUGGCCAACAACAUCAGCAAAUUUCCGUCACACAUCGUGCCGAUCCUGACGUCUACCGUGAUCGAGUGUCACAGGGCCGGCCUGAAGAACUCUGCCUUCAGCUUUGCAGCCAUGUUGAUGAGGCCCGAGUACCGCAACAAGAUAGAUGCCAAAUACAAAAAGAAGAUUGAGGCAAUGGUCAGGAGACCUGAUACAUCCGAGACAGAAGAGGCCACAACCCCAUGUCCAUUCUGCGAAUUUCUUCUCCCAGAGUGUGAACUCCUCUGUCCUGGAUGUAAAAAUAACAUCCCAUAUUGCAUUGCAACAGGUCGACAUAUGUUAAAGGAUGAUUGGACGGUGUGUCCACAUUGCGACUUCCCUGCACUGUAUUCAGAAUUCAAGAUCAUGUUAAACACUGAAAGCACAUGUCCUAUGUGUUCAGAAAGACUAAACUUUGCUCAGCUGAAAAAAACCUCAGACUGUAGCCAGUACCUGCGGACAGAAGUGGAGCAGUGAGUGGCAUGUGCAGGUAAGUGCCAGACCCUCCACUUACCUUCCCAGGGCACGAGAUCCACGGGGUGGACACAGCUUUACAGUGUGUUUUGCCAUUGGCUCCUUUUUGUGCAUCACGUAACUUGUCAGAUUUGAACAAACAAAACUUGUCAGAUUUGAAACAAACCUUUGAUGUACUUUUUAAAAAAGCUAGAACGCAGGUUGUAUAGUCUCCAUGGUGACAAAGGUUAUUUGACCAAGCAGCAUCAUGGAUUCCAACCAAAACGUAUAUUAUCAAAUCACAUGGGCUUCUUUUUAACCAGUCCAUUAAAACUGUAGCUAGCUAGCUAUUAACAGUGGGGUUUUUGAGUUCUAUAAUUCAGGAGAAUAUAUUGUAAAAAUUUUUGCUUCCAGAGGCUUGAAAAAUCCCCAUUUCUUUUUCUGUCCAAGUGUCAUUUUUGUUGCAUGGAAGCAGCACAAUACCCCUUCCACUCUCACUCCAUUGGCAAGAAUUUACUCAUAGGGCCACACAUACUGCAAGGGGAGGCAGGGAAACGUAGUCUCCAGGUGGAAAGCCAAACGCCCCUGCCAAAAACUCUUUAAGAUUCUUUAAUUAAAAGGAAAAAGUAAGAUUAGUCCCUGACACAGCACUAAACAUAGUUAAAACGGAACCCUAGGUUUUCACACGAAACCUGUUCUCACACUCUUCACUCCAUCAGUAAACAGCAGCUCCAUCCUACCAGCGGAUCAGGAUGGAAAUGUGGACACCACCCAUCCCCCAGUCCAUAGGCAAGUCCUCUCAGUCCCCCUCCAGUGUAUCUGGUUCCCUUCCUCAGGGGGACUUUUUAUUGCACCUGCAAAAAUAAAAGAGCCUAAAAGACUCGACAUGAACGGGCCCAGCCUCCUCCUCUGCUCACUACGCUGCAGCCCCACUGGCCUCUUGGCUGUUCCUUGGACUCCAAACUGCUUUCUGUAGCACCUGCAGUCUCUCACAUUCCUGCCAGCAGCACCCAAGGGUUCUAGUUUUCCCAUAUCCUCACCAACACUUGCUGUUGUCUGCAUGCUUGAUUAUAACCAUCCUAGUAGGUGUGAAGUAGUCUCGCAUUGUGGUUUUGAUGUGCAUUUCCCUAAUGAUAACGAUGUUGAGCAUCAUUUCACGUGCUUGUCGGCCAUUUGUAUAUCUUCUUUAGAGAACUGUCUUCAAGUCCUUUACCCAUUUUUUUAAACUGGGUAUUUUGUCUUUUUAUAGAGUUGUAAGAAUCCUUAAUAUAUUCUAGGUACAAGUCCUCUAUCAGAUGCAUGACGUGCAAAUAUCCUAUUCUGUGGAAGUAUUUUUUCUUUCUUCAUAGCAUCCUUUGAUGUACAAAAGUUUUUAUUAUUUUGAUGAAGUCCAAUUUAUUUUUUUUCCUUUGGCUGCUUGUGUUCUUGGUGUCAUGUCUAAGAAACCACUGCUUAUCCCAGCGUCACAAAGAUUGACACUUAUGUUUCAUUCUAAGAGUUCUAUAGUUGCUGCUCUUAUACUUAAUGUCUUUGAUCCAUUUAAUUUUUGUGUAUGGUGUGAGGUGUGGUCCCAAUUUCCUUUUGUGUGUGGAUGAACAGGUGUCUCAGCACCAUUUGUUGAAAAGACUGUUCCUUUCCUAUUAUUACUGGGUAUUGUCUUAUUAUUAUUGUUAUAAAGGUUCUUUAUUUGUAUAUUCUAGAUCUAAAUCUUAUAUUUAUUUUGACGAUAUUUUCUCCCACUCUGGCUUCCCACUUCUUUUUCUUAAUGGUCUUUUUUUUGGGGGGGGGAAUAUAGUUGAUUUAUCAAUACAAUGUUGUGUUAGUUUCAGGUGUACAGCAAAGUGAAUCACCCAUACAUAUAUCUUAAUGGUCUUUUGAUGAGCAGAUUUUUUUUUUUCCUAACCAGAAAAUUCAGUUAAUUUGAGUUGUUACUAUAGUGUAAAUUAUGUAUGCUAAGUUUGUUACAGUCUUCAGAUUCUUCUGAUGCUGCCCAUUGGGAAUAGAUUUCUAUUUAUAUAUACAUAUUUUUUUUUUUUGUCUGUGUUGGGUCUUCGUUUCUGUGCAUGGGCUUUCUCUAGUUGCGGUGAGCAGGGGCCACUCUUCAUCGCGGUGCGCGGGCCUCUCACUGUUGUGGAGCACAAGCUCCAGACGAGCAGCCUCAGUAGCUGUGGCUCACGGGCCUAGUUGCUCUGUGGCAUGUGGGAUCUUCCCACACCAGGGCUUGAACCCGUGUCCCCUGCAUUGGCAGGCAGACUCUCAACCACUGCACCACCAGGGAAGCCCUGAUGAGCAGAUUUUGAUUCUGAUGAGUUAAAAUUUAUCAGUGUUUCAUUUUAUUAUUUUAUUACUUUCUGCAUCUAAGAAAAUUUUUGCCUACUCAAAAGUCAGAAGCAUAGUUGCCUAUGUUUUCAUCUAGAAGCUCUGGGUUUGUGAUCCAUCUUGAAGUUAUUUUUGUUUAUAGUAUGAGGUGGAGAUUGAGAACCUUUUCCUCCUCAAGUAGAUAUCCAGUCUUCCAACACCACUUGUUGAAAAGCUUUCCUUUCCCCAUUGAACUGCUUGCAUGCCUUUGUUGAAAAUCAGCUGGGUUUUAAAUAUGGGUCUACUUCUGGACCCUCUCUUCUUUUCCAUUGCUCUAUUUGUCCCCUAUUUUUAUACUAUACUGUCUUCAUUACUGUGACAUUAUAGUACAUCUUAAAGCCAGGUAUUGUGGAUCCUACAACUUUGUCAUUUUUUUCCAAGACUGUUUUGACUACUCUUUCUUCUCUCCAUUUCUCUCUAAAAUUUUAGAAUCAGCUUGUCAAAUUCUCUUUUAAAAUCUUGCUCAAAUUAUGAUUGGGAUAUGUUUAUUUUUCUGUUGCCACAUAACAUCACAUAUUUAGCAUCUUAAAACAAUAUACAUUUAAUAUUUCACAACUUUUUUUGAGGUAUAAUUAUCACCUUGUAUUAGUUUUAGGUGUACAACAUAAUGAUUUGAUAUAUGUUUGUACUGUGAAAUGAUUACCACAGUAAUUUAGUUAACAUCCAUCACCACACAGUUACAAUUUUUUUUUAAUUGAGCACUUUUAACACCUAUUCUCUUAGCAACUUCCAAGUAUACAGUGUUGUUAACUGUGAUCGCCAUGCUGUAUAUUAUAUCCCCAGGACUCAACCGUAACUGGAAUUUUAUACCUUUCGACCACCUUCAUUCUGCCCACCCCCACCCUCUGGCAACCAACAAAUUAUUCUGUAUCUAUGAGUUCAGUGGGGUUGUUUUUUUAAUUAAACAUGUAAGUGAGAUCAUACAGUAUCUGUCUUUCUCUUAUUUCAUUUAGCAUAAUGUCCUCAAGGUCCAUCCAUGUUGUUGCAAAUGGCAGUGUUUCCUUCUUCUUUAUAUGUAUAUACACAUGUAUACAUAUAUACCACAUAUUCUUUAUCCAGUGCCAUUUUCUUUAUACAGUAUUAGUGGACACUUAGGUCAUUUCCAUGUCUUGUCUAUUGUAAAUAAUGCUGUAAUGAACACUGGGGUGCAGAUACCUUUUCAAGAUAGUGAUUUUGUUUCCUUCAGAUAAACACACAGAAGUAGAAUUGCUGGAACAUAUGGUAGUUCUAUUUUUAACUUUUUGAGGAAUCUCUAUAGUGUUUUCCAUAAUGGCUGCAUCAAUUUACAUGCCCACCAACAGUGCACGAUGGAUACCUUUUCUCCAUAUCCUUGCCAAGACUUUUUAUUUCUUGUCAUUUUGACAAUAGCCAUUCUGACAGGUGUGAGGUGAUAUCUCAUCAUUGUUUUGAUUUGCAUUUCCCAGAUUAGUGAUGCUGAGCACCUUUUCAUGUACGUAUUGACCAUAUGUAUGUUUUCUUUGGAAAAAUGUCUAUUCAGAGCCUUUGCCCAUUUUUUUUUAAUUGGAUUUUUUUUCUAUUGAGUUGUAUGAGUUUAUUAUAUAUUUUGUAUAUUAACCCAAAUUAUCAGAUAUAUGAUUUGCAAAUAUUUCUCCCAUUCCAUAGGUUGCCUUUUCAUUUUGUUGAUGGAAACUUUUUAGAUUGAUGUAGCCUUGUUUAUAUCUGCUUUGUUGCCUGUGCUUUUGGUGUCACCUACAAACAUACAUUGCCAAGACCAAUGUCAAGGAGCUUACUCCCUACGGUUUCGUCUAAGACUUUUAUGUUGUCAGGCCUUAUGUUCAAGACUUUAAUCCAUUUUGAGUUAAUUUUUGUGUAUGGUGUAAGACAGUAAUCCAGUUUCAUUCUUUUGCAUGUGGCUGUCAAGUUUCCCCAACACCAUUUAUUUAAGAGAGUGCCU